GGCCAUCUUGGAUGGUGUAGCUCUUUGCUCCCUGCUAGGCUAUACUAAUGUCCAAGUUCAAACUGAUUCCAAAAUGGCUCUACUAUGGCUAAAGGAGGAGCUACCUAUUCCAUGGUCUCUUAAAAAUUGGUGGGCACAUUUCAGAGUUCUGACAACAUCUAUGACUGUCAGGGCUAUUCAUGUGUAUAGGGAGGGGAAUAAUGCUGCAGAUUAUUUAUCCAAGCAAGACUUAAAGUACAAAUCUAUGGGGGCUGUGAACUAUCAUGUAGAUGAAGACCUCAAGCUAUCAAUCACAAGUGACAAGUUCAACAUUCCAUACAUCAGACAUGUCCAACAAUAACAUAGAAAGCAGAUUACAAGUUCAAAUCAAGGUUUAUGCUGACACAGUUUGUGCAUUUCUGGAACUGGGAAGGACACAACCAAGGUCUAGCAGCAGGAAAGACUUAAAAGAGAUCACAAGAUUAGAAACUUACAAGGUUUCAGAGUCUGGGCUUCUUAACAUUCCUACCAUCUUCAAUACCAUCCACAGCUUCAGCUUCAGCUUCCUCAUCUUCAUCAGUACCUGCAUCAUUGUUAGAUAUCUCUCCAAGAGUGGUGGAUGCAAGCAGACAACUCUCACAAUGGGUUAUAGUGUUUCAAAGUGCACAUCACACAUAGAUCUCUGAACCGACAGCCAGGUCUGAUCGAAAAUCAUAGCUGCAAUCACACUGUGCUCACCAGAAGAAGCAGAAUCGCUGGAAGAAGAAGAGGCAGCCAUUUUUGUUCUAAGCUGCUUUUGCUCAACCAACUAUUGAUUGUACUAUUGAUGGUUGCCUUUUGGCGCUUCAUUUUCCUAGGAGCUGACCCUUCUCUUGGGCUUGGGUUUUGCUUUUUGGGUUGUUACUUUUCUAGGUUGUUUUACCUUGUUAGCUUUCUUCAGGCUUUUUGGCCAUUGUACUCGAGUGUUUUUUCUUGUAGGAAGAUCAGGCCUAGUCCCUCUUCUAGCACUUAUAUUUUCUAAAUUAAUGAACAGGUAGGGGUCUAGCCAAACCCUGCCCCACUC
rnacentral:lncRNA from 1 species